AUCGCUUCUCGGCCUUUUGGCUAAGAUCAAGUGUAGCAGGAAUGGUAAGUUUCAACCUUACUUAAACCAAGUUCAGCCUGCUUAUUCCAAUGAACUUGGCAUGUGUACCAAGUCAGGAGAUUGAACACUU
rnacentral:snRNA from 1 species